rnacentral:rRNA from 1 species
AGCGAACGCUGGCGGCAGGCCUAACACAUGCAAGUCGAACGAAACCUUCGGGUUUAGUGGCGGACGGGUGAGUAACACGUGGGAACGUGUCCUUUGGUUCGGAACAACUCAGGGAAACUUGAGCUAAUACCGGAUGUGCCCUUCGGGGGAAAGAUUUAUCGCCAUUGGAGCGGCCCGCGUAGGAUUAGCUAGUUGGUGGGGUAAUGGUCCACCAAGGCUCCGAUCCUUAGCUGGUCUGAGAGGAUGAUCAGCCACACUGGGACUGAGACACGGCCCAGACUCCUACGGGAGGCAGCAGUGGGGAAUCUUGCGCAAUGGGCGAAAGCCUGACGCAGCCAUGCCGCGUGAAUGAUGAAGGUCUUAGGAUUGUAAAAUUCUUUCACCGGGGACGAUAAUGACGGUACCCGGAGAAGAAGCCCCGGCUAACUUCGUGCCAGCCGCCGCCGUAA